rnacentral:lncRNA from 1 species
CUCGGCCUCGCACUUCCGGGUUCUGAGGGAACGGGCUUGCGCACAAGCGUGCGUGCGCGUGACCGCCUCCACCGGCGGACUCGUGAGCGCGCCGCUGCCGGGACCGCUCCUGGGCCUUAGAGAAGACGCGGAUAAGGGCCAAGGAAAGAGGGAGGUAGCGGUUGCUGAGCUCCUUCGGCGCUUCGGCUCCUGUAGCUCUGACUAUUCGGACCGUCAAGGUAGAAUAGGAGGCGGCCAGUUCCCCGCUCUAAGAAGUUGCCUGCGCUCUGAGAGACAGGUGCCGCUGUGUUGCCUAGGAUGAUCUCAAACCGCUAAGCUCAAGCAAUCCUCCUGCGUCGACUUUCCAAAGCGCUGGAAUUAUGGGCGUGAGCCACUGUGCCCAGGGACAGGGUCUUGCUAUGUUGCCCAGGCUGGUGUCAAACUCCUGGACACAAGUGAUCCUCCUGCCUUGGCCUUCCAAAGUGCUGGGAUUACAGUCAUGAGCCACCACACCUGGCUCAUUAUUUGUUAUUGGUAACAUAUUAGAUAUCUAUUGCUGCAUAAUGAAUAACCCCAAAACAUAGUGGCUUAAAACAAUAAAAAUCAUUUAUUAUCUCUCACAAUUUCUGUGAGUUGGGAAUUCAAAAGUAGAUCAGUUGGGCGGUUCUAUGUCAGUCUCUU